rnacentral:rRNA from 1 species
AGACCCGAAACCCGGUGAUCUAGCCAUGGGCAGGUUGAAGGUUGGGUAACACUAACUGGAGGACCGAACCGACUAAUGUUGAAAAAUUAGCGGAUGACCUGUGGCUGGGGGUGAAAGGCCAAUCAAACCGGGAGAUAGCUGGUUCUCCCCGAAAGCUAUUUAGGUAGCGCCUCGUGAAUUCAUCUCCGGGGGUAGAGCACUGUUUCGGCUAGGGGGCCAUCCCGGCUUACCAACCCGAUGCAAACUGCGAAUACCGGAGAAUGUUAUCACGGGAGACACACGGCGGGUGCUAACGUCCGUCGUGAAGAGGGAAACAACCCAGACCGCCAGCUAAGGUCCCAAAGUCAUGGUUAAGUGGGAAACGAUGUGGGAAGGCCCAGACAGCCAGGAUGUUGGCUUAGAAGCAGCCAUCAUUUAAAGAAAGCGUAAUAGCUCACUGGUCGAGUCGGCCUGCGCGGAAGAUGUAACGGGGCUAAACCAUGCACCGAAGCUGCGGCAGCGACGCUGAUGCGUUGUUGGGUAGGGGAGCGUUCUGUAAGCCUGCGAAGGUGGCCUGUGAGGGUUGCUGGAGGUAUCAGAAGUGCGAAUGCUGACAUAAGUAACGAUAAAGCGGGUGAAAAGCCCGCUCGCCGGAAGACCAAGGGUUCCUGUCCAACGUUAAUCGGGGCAGGGUGAGUCGACCCCUAAGGCGAGGCCGAAAGGCGUAGUCGAUGGGAAACGGGUUAAUAUUCCCGUACUUGGUGUUACUGCGAAGGGGGGACGGAGAAGGCUAUGUUGGCCGGGCGACGGUUGUCCCGGUUUAAGCGUGUAGGUGUGUGUUCCAGGUAAAUCCGGUUCACUUUAACACUGAGGCGUGAUGACGAGGCACUACGGUGCUGAAGCAACAAAUGCCCU